rnacentral:rRNA from 1 species
UACAGAGGUCUCAAGCGUUGUUCGGAUUCAUUGGGCGUAAAGGGUGCGUAGGUGGCGUCGUAAGUCGGGUGUGAAAUUUCGGAGCCUAACUCCGAAACUGCAUUCGAUACUGCCGUGCUUGAGGACUGGAGAGGAGACUGGAAUUUACGGUGUAGCGGUGAAAUGCGUAGAUAUCGUAAGGAAGACCAGUGGCGAAGGCGGGUCUCUGGACAGUUCCUGACGCUGAGGCACGAAGGUCAGGGGGAGCAAAACGGGG